rnacentral:lncRNA from 1 species
UAAUCGCAAAAUAUAUAUUAUCUAUUAGUUUAAAGAAGAAGAUAAGCGUUAAUAAAUUGGUCAAUAUGAAAAACACAUAUCACAAUGUAUAUCAAAAGUUGAGUAUAAAGAAGUAAAUUUAAAGUACAACAAAGGUAAAACAAAAAAGUAAAUAUAUAUCUAUUGGUAAUAUUAUAUUACGAUCAUCUACAUCAAAUGUACACCAAAAUUAGAUAAAAAUAACAUGUAGUUUGAUAAUAUGCUCAAGAGAAGUAAAAACAAAUACAGCAUAACAUCAAAACUUUAAUGAAUGUUAUGACUAAAGCUAAGAUAUUAAAAAAAUAGUGAAAUAAUUAAACAACAAUCACAAAUGAAUAUGAAUAUUAUGAACCAAGAGAAGUAAGAAAAAUUAUAUUGUAAGAGUAACACUUCAAUGAAGGAGAAAUAGUUAGUGACAUAAGACAAAAAAUAGGAAAACAAAAUGAACUUAUAAUAGGUCAUACUUCCAUGAAGGUUAUCACUGAAGGUAAGAUAUAUAAAAAAAACAAUGGAAGCAUUAAACAAUAAACAGAAACGAAGAUGAAUAUCAUGAACCAAAAAACCCUAAACCAAAUAUGAAGAUAACCAAAUAUAAAGAAAAACUAAAAAUACAAACAUGAAGAAGAACACAAUGCAUAUAAUAAAGAAAAAAAUGAAAUGGGAGGGGGAAAAUGACAUUCCAAACGCAUAAAGAGAAAAUCAAGUAAGACAAAAUGAAAGAAAUGUAGAAAGGAAAAUGAUAUGUUAUAGGUAUGUGUUAUACACAUCACAUAACAACAAUCAAGAAAAGUUCCACAUUUUGUUAGAGAAACGAAGCAAAAAACGAAUGUGAAAAUAAAUUAGAGAAACGAAGAGACAUGUAACGAAACAGUAAGUGGAAUAAUUGCUAGAAAAAAUAAAGAAAGUCAUUUUGUAAAUCAUUCCUUCAUCUAGAUUUCAAGUGAAAUUCAAAAGUGGUUUAUUUGUGAUUUAUAAAUGCUAUUGAAGGUGAGCCAUGAUUUAAUUAUUUUAGGAAGUUAAAACAUCAGCUAUAAUUUUGUUGGUCAUGAUUUAUGUUGGCCAUUAUUUCAAUUUAAUGGCAUCAGUAAUAAAUAUAAGGAUAUAUAAUAAUUAGAUAUAUAAAAACAAAUGGUGAAGGGGAUUGUCGUGUUAUCAGAUGUGUGGGUAUGUAUAGGAAGGGAUAGAGAGCUUUUGGAGGGGGAAAUUUUAUUAAGGUAAUGACACAUGUCAUAGCUGAU